CUCUCGCAUCGAUGAAGAACGUAGUGAAAUGCGAUACUUGGUGUGAAUUGCAGAAUCCCGUGAACCAUCGAGUCUUUGAACGCAAGUUGCGCCCGAAGCCAUUAGGCCGAGGGCACGUCUGCCUGGGCGUCUCGCAACGCGUCGCCACCCCCUCCCGCCUAGCCAAGCG
rnacentral:rRNA from 1 species